AUACGGAGGAUCCAAGUGUUAUCCGGAUUUAUUGGGUUUAAAGGGUGCGUAGGCGGACUUAUAAGUCAGCAGUGAAAGUUUGCAGCUUAACUGUAAAAUUGCCGUUGAAACUGUUAGUCUUGAGUGUAAAUGAGGUAGGCGGAAUGUGUUGUGUAGCGGUGAAAUGCUUAGAUAUAACACAGAACACCAAUUGCGAAGGCAGCUUACUGGGAUACAACUGACGCUGAGGCACGAAAGCGUGGGGAGC
rnacentral:rRNA from 1 species